GCAGUGAUGAGACACACUGCCUGGAACAAAGCAGACAGGACCUGAGGUUGUCCUCGAACCUCCACACGGGCUUCCCAAAACUACGGUGAAAACCCCAGUGGUGCUCCACCCAGCAGUCAAACCUGCGACAACUGGUUAAGAGUGUGGUCCUGUUGUGGCAGAGAGGACUAUUCAAAAGCACCAAGGUACUAUAGUUGAGAACACAGGCUUGAAGGUCGGAACACCUCCAUUUCUACAGUCGGUGUGCUCUUAUGUAGGUCAAUUUAAAGAGCCUCUGCCUCUGUUUCUUCAUUUGAGCAAAUGGUACUUCGCUGCCAAGUGCUCAGAAAGAUAAGAAGAUGCAACCCAAUUACCAGCACACAGAAGAAUCUCCAUAAAUAUCAGUGGCUGCUGCCAUCAACUGGGUUCAGACAGAGAAGUGCCAACAGGAUAUGGCUUCAACAGUACCUGCCACAGCUAACUUCCCCUAACCACAAUCCCCUGUUCCAGGAAACGACUUCAAGAUGUGCUUUGCAAAAGGAUGUCCACCUGUUCCAGAGCCCAAGGCCCUGAGAGCAACCGGUGCCCUGUGUCCCAGAAGCAGAAUCUCCCCAGUGGGUCUUUCUAUAUUAUUGGAUCACACACACACAUAUCUACUAUAUGCGGAGGGCAACUAUCACUCCAGUCCUCAUCCCAGGGGGUCCAUUUAUAAUCACCUUUUGCAAUCAUUUAUUCUUCAAAUAAUCUUUGCCAAAAACAAAAACAAAAACAAAAAAACCAGUCUAUCUGCAAAAAGUUAGAGACUGUUAAGUCAAGAGUGGCAAUGUGACGGUUCGAUCCCUCCACUGAUCAGGUCUCCACCACACCAACAAUCACUGGAAAAGUCAACCAGACUUGGUUUCCUGCCAGACCUGGACAACAAACAGCUUUGAGCAAAGACUUACCAGUGAUGGUUGGCAGACACAGGGAAACAGAAAGGCCGGCCAGAGCAGAAACAAAGCACCCUGUCCACAUAUACUAUUGUAUCCCGAGAAGUUAGCAGAGCGGUUUCGGUUCAGUUUCUGUCGCAUGUCCCCUUACAACAAAUCCUGUGACUUAAGGUGGCCUGAGAGAUUCUGUGUUUGUCACUGCAGCCUAAGAACCUGCUGAGCCAGCUCAAGGAGACUGCUAAGUGGCUCAGUCGCAUUCAUACAAGGUGGCGCUCCACAUGUCACCCUCGGCUGGUAAUGGCAAAUGCAAAAGGGAUAUAACCCUCAUUCUCAAGGAAGAGGUCGCAAAGGACAUGGGAUCAAGGGAAUGCAGGACUACCUCAGAGGCCACCCUCUUCCCCUGCUAUCUGCCACCUCCAACCUGAAGACCCCACACAGAUCUUCUACAUCCCACAGAGCAAUGAUUAAGCACCAGAGCACCUAAGCCCAAUUCCCUGGGAAUUCAGUUUCAGGGAAGAAAUGAGCAGAGUUAUUUCAGGGGCACAGUUAAAAAAGAGCCAAGUUAUGAAACUAACUGAGCCACUAUAUAGUUGCCUAGACCAUGACGGGAAGAUGGUUUUAAUAACACCACCACCCUAGAGAGCAUAUUAGCAUUUACAAGGUACAUUCACAUACACUCCACCUCUUUUGAUCCUCUUCAUGACCCUGUAAAGCUAGUAAUCUAAACUCUGUUUCCAGAUACAAAAACUAAGGCUGAGAGGUUAAAAACCUAGUCCCGGAAUCCUUGCGAGUCAGUGAUUCCCUGGCUCAGAAUCCCAGGCUCUGCUUUCUACGGCUUCACGUUAAGACGAAAAGGUACAGAGGAAAACGGAAGUCCGUACUGCUUCAAACCUCUCAGUGCUAUUCAAAGGAGUUACAUUACCAAACAAUAAAGAAGGCUUGAAAAUAA